UACGUAGGGGGCAAGCGUUGUCCGGAAUUAUUGGGCGUAAAGAGCGUGUAGGCGGCCCGAUAAGUCCGCCGUGAAAGUCCAGGGCUCAACCCUGGAAUGCCGGUGGAAACUGUCGGGCUCGAGUCCGGAAGAGGCGAGUGGAAUUCCUGGUGUAGCGGUGAAAUGCGCAGAUAUCAGGAGGAACACCAAUGGCGAAGGCAGCUCGCUGGGACGGUACUGACGCUGAGACGCGAAAGCGUGGGGAGCAAACAGG
rnacentral:rRNA from 1 species